rnacentral:rRNA from 1 species
GAUGAACGCUGGCGGCGUGCCUAAUACAUGCAAGUCGAGCGAACAGACGAGGAGCUUGCUCCUCGGACGUUAGCGGCGGACGGGUGAGUAACACGUGGAUAACCUACCUAUAAGAUAGGGAUAACUUCGGGAAACCGGAGCUAAUACCGGAUAAUAUAUUGAACCGCAUGGUUCAAAAGUGUAUGACGGUUUUGCUGUCACUUAUAGAUGGAUCCGCGGCGCAUUAGCUAGUUGGUAAGGUAACGGCUUACCAAGGCGACGAUGCGUAGCCGACCUGAGAUGGUGAUCGGCAACACUACAACUGAGACGCGCUCCAGACUCCUAAGGGAGGCAGCGGUAAGGAUUCUUCCGCAAUGCGCGAUGGCGUGACUGAGCAACGCCGCGGGAGUCAUGACGAUCUUCGUAUCGUAGAACUCUGUUAUCAUGGGAGUACAAAUGUGUAACUAACUAUGCCCGUUUUGACGGUACCUGACCAGAAAGCCCCGGCUAACUACGUG